rnacentral:rRNA from 1 species
CCUACGGGGGGCAGCAGUGGGGAAUAUUGCGCAAUGGGCGAAAGCCUGACGCAGCGACGCCGCGUGAGGGAUGAAGGUCUUCGGAUCGUAAACCUCUGUCAGCAGGGAAGAACGGUCACUGUGCUAAUCAGCAGUGAAUUGACGGUACCUGCAAAGGAAGCAUCGGCUAACUCUGUGCCAGCAGCCGCGGUAAUACGGCGGGUGCGAGUGUUAAUCGGAAUUAUUGGGCGUAAAGCGCUCGUAGGCGGUAUGUCAAGUCAAGGGUGAAAUCCCCGGGCUCAACGUGGGAACUGCCUUUGAAACUGGCAAACUUGAGUGUGUGAGAGGAUAGUGGAAUUCCAGGUGUAGGAGUGAAAUCCGUAGAUAUCAGGAGGAACAUCAGUGGCGAAGGCGACUAUCUGGCACAUAACUGACGCUGAGGAGCGAAAGCGUGGGUAGCAAACAGGAUUAGAUACCCUAGUAGUC